rnacentral:rRNA from 1 species
UGGGGAAUAUUGCGCAAUGGGCGGAAGCCUGACGCAGCGACGCCGCGUGGGGGAUGACGGCCUUCGGGUUGUAAACCUCUUUCGACCGGGACGAAGAGAGAUUGACGGUACCGGUAUAUGAAGCACCGGCCAACUACGUGCCAGCAGCCGCGGUAAUACGUAGGGUGCGAGCGUUGUCCGGAAUUAUUGGGCGUAAAGAGCUCGUAGGCGGUCUGUCGCGUCGGUCGUGAAAACUUGGGGCUUAACCCUGAGCUUGCGGUCGAUACGGGCAUGACUGGAGUUCGGCAGGGGAGACUGGAAUUCCUGGUGUAGCGGUGAAAUGCGCAGAUAUCAGGAGGAACACCGGUGGCGAAGGCGGGUCUCUGGGCCGAUACUGACGCUGAGGAGCGAAAGCGUGGGGAGCGAA